rnacentral:rRNA from 1 species
CCCUUAGAUGUUCUGGGCCGCACGCGCGCUACACUGAUGCAUUCAACGAGCCUAUCCUUGACCGACAGGUCCAGGUAAUCUUUGAAUCUGCAUCGUGACGGGGAUAGAUUAUUGCAAUUAUUAAUCUUCAACGAGGAAUGCCUAGUAGGCGCAAGUCAUCAGCUUGCGUCGAUUACGUCCCUGCCCUUUGUACACACCGCCCGUCGCUCCUACCGAUUGGGUGUGCUGGUGAAAUGUUCGGAUCGGCCGUUUGUCGCGGUUUCCGCGUCAUGUGGCUGAGAAGUUCAUUAAACCCUCCCACCUAGAGGAAGGAGAAGUCGUAACA